rnacentral:rRNA from 1 species
UACGGAGGGUGCGAGCGUUGUCCGGAAUCACUGGGCGUAAAGGGCGCGUAGGUGGCUCAGUAAGUCAACGGUGAAAGUUCGGGGCUCAACCCUGAAUCGGCCGUCGAUACCCCUGGGCUCGAGCACUGUAGAGGCAGAUGGAAUUCCGGGUGUAGCGGUGGAAUGCGUAGAGAUCCGGAAGAACACCGGUGGCGAAGGCGGUCUGCUGGGCAGUUGCUGACACUGAGGCGCGACAGCGUGGGGAGCGAACAGG